rnacentral:rRNA from 1 species
CGACCAGACUCCUACGGGAGGCAGCAGUGAGGAAUAUUGGUCAAUGGGCGGAAGCCUGAACCAGCCAAGUCGCGUGAGGGAAUAAGGCCCUACGGGUCGUAAACCUCUUUUGCCGGGGAGCAAGGGCGGGGACGUGUCCCGGCCCGGAGAGUACCCGGAGAAAAAGCAUCGGCUAACUCCGUGCCAGCAGCCGCGGUAAUACGGAGGAUGCGAGCGUUAUCCGGAUUUAUUGGGUUUAAAGGGUGCGUAGGCGGGCUUUUAAGUCAGCGGUAAAAAUUCGGGGCUCAACCCCGUCCGGCCGUUGAAACUGGGGGCCUUGAGUGGGCGAGAAGAAGGCGGAAUGCGUGGUGUAGCGGUGAAAUGCAUAGAUAUCACGCAGAACCCCGAUUGCGAAGGCAUCUGACGAAUCGGAGAUUGACGCUGAUGCACGAAAGCGUGGGUAUCGAACAGGAUUAGAUACCCUCGUAU